UCCGGAUUAGAUACCCUGGUAGUCCACGCCCUAAACGAUGCGAACUGGACGUUGGGAGCAACUAGGCUCUCAGUGUCGAAGCUAACGCGUUAAGUUCGCCGCCUGGGGAGUACGGUCGCGAGACUGAAACUCAAAGGAAUUGACGGGGGCCCGCACAAGCGGUGGAUGAUGUGGUUUAAUUCGAUGCAACGCGAAAAACCUUACCCACCUUUGACAUGUACGGAAGUUGCCAGAGAUGGCUUCGUGCUCGAAAGAGAGCCGUAACACAGGUGCUGCAUGGCUGUCGUCAGCUCGUGUCGUGAGAUGUUGGGUUAAGUCCCGCAACGAGCGCAACCCUUGUCAUUAGUUGCUACAUUUAGUUGGGCACUCUAAUGAGACUGCCGGUGACAAACCGGAGGAA
rnacentral:misc_RNA from 1 species